rnacentral:tRNA from 1 species
AGUGUGUUAGCUCAAUGGUGGAGCAGUCUCUUGAUAAGGGAAAGGUUACUGGUUCGAGCCCAGUACGCACUA